GUGGUCGGUGAAUGUGCUUCUGGUCAUGUUCUCGAGUCUCAUGACUAGAUCCACACUCAUCCACUGCUA